CGCCGCCGCGCAUAAAAAUGUUACGAGUCGUCCUCUCCGGUCAGCUUGCGAAACCCUAACCCACCCCACCACCGAUCGAAAAGAGGGGCGCGAGAAAAGGAGAGCGAGCAAGAAAGAGGUCGCCGACGCUCCGCCGACGAAUCGCCAUGGCCACCACGGGCAAGCCGCCUAGUUCCUGGGACGAUUGGAGAGACGUGAAGGAUAACUCUGCCCCCGCGCCGGUCGAGCUCUGGCUUGAGUUCCCGGCCGCCGUGGAAGAGCCUUUGCCUUCCGGAGUCGACAUGAGAGAAAGUGAGAUCUAUGCUGUCACUGGGGACAACUUGACUGGUUAUAAGACUCUGGACCACUCUACAAAGCAACUGGUGAAGGAUUACAACGCAAUUGCAUUACACCGAAGGGAUAUAAUCAGAAGGAUGUAUCGUAUUGGCAAGACUGAGUCUAAGGGCUUGCCGAAAGCGAUUGCUGAUGAUGUUCGCCGUCUUUGCUUGCCCUCUUCAGAGGUCAAGAACUCUUACCGGGACUUGAAGCGCAAAGGAGGACGUCCUGUCCGCUUCCCGAUCAUCUUUGAUGAGAGUAUAAAAGCGCCCAAAAUGUGAAUCUGCUGACUGUUAGGUUCUCACUAACAUUGUUCGGAGUAACUGAAGUUUCUCAUAGGAGCCCCAGAAAUGUGAGUCCUGCUGUUUUUUUUGGAAUAGUGUCUCCCUAAAAUUUUUUCAGACCGACUGAAGUUGCUCAUAAAAGCCCCAGAAAUGCGAGUCAUGCUGCUUUUUUGGAAUAGUGUCUCACUAAAUUUUUUUCAGACUGACGGAAGUUGCUCAUAGAAGCCCCAAAAUGUGAUUCUAUAUCUGACUUGGAAUUGGAUUUACAAGGUGCCCGGCUCCGAUACAUUGUUUUGGAUUUGGACUAACUGAAGUUUGAACCAGAUUAAGGCAGCCUCCUCCACAUGACCCGAAAUUUGAUAAACACUGAAGGUGUCCUUCCCAACUGACAUGGUGUCAGAAUUGCCAUGGGCAACGGUUUCAAUAUCAAUUACUAUAAUUUCUUAGUUGUAGUACUCCCGUAUUGCCGCAGAAAUUGCUGUACCCUCUGAAAUAGUGUUAAACCUUUUUUCUGCGAAUAAAAGUGAUAAACCUUGAUUACUA